rnacentral:rRNA from 1 species
GAUGAACGCUAGCGAUAGGCUUAACACAUGCAAGUCGAGGGGCAGCACAAGGUAGCUUGCUAUCUGGGUGGCGACCGGCGCACGGGUGCGUAACGCGUAUGCAACUUGCCCUAUACAGGAGGAUAACCCGUCGAAAGACGGACUAAUACUGCGUAUGCUCACAACUUGGCAUCAAGUAGUGAGGAAAGAAAUUCGGUAUAGGAUAGGCAUGCGUCCCAUUAGCUUGUUGGUGAGGUAACGGCUCACCAAGGCAACGAGGGGUAGGGGAACUGAGAGGUUUAUCCCCCACACUGGUACUGAGACACGGACCAGACUCCUACGGGAGGCAGCAGUGAGGAAUAUUGGUCAAUGGGCGAGAGCCUGAACCAGCCAAGUCGCGUGAAGGAUGACUGUCUUAUGGAUUGUAAACUUCUUUUAUACGGGAAUAACAAGAGUCACGUGUGACUCCCUGCAUGUACCGUAUGAAUAAGCAUCGGCUAACUCCGUGCCAGCAGCCGCGGUAAUACGGAGGAUGCGAGCGUUAUCCGGAUUUAUUGGGUUUAAAGGGUGCGUAGGCGGUUUGUUAAGUCAGCGGUGAAAUCUAGAGGCUCAACCUCGAAACUGCCGUUGAAACUGGCGAACUUGAGUGUAGAUGAGGUAGGCGGAAUUCGUGGUGUAGCGGUGAAAUGCAUAGAUAUCACGAGGAACUCCAAUUGCGAAGGCAGCUUACUAAGGUACAACUGACGCUGAAGCACGAAAGCGUGGGUAUCAACAGGAUUAGAUACCUGUAGUCCACGCAGUAAACGAUGAUACUGGGCGUAUGCGAUAUACAGUAUG